rnacentral:rRNA from 1 species
UACAGAGGGGGCAAGCGUUGUUCGGAAUCAUUGGGCGUAAAGGGCGUGUAGGCGGUUUGUUAAGUCAUGUGUGAAAUCCCUCGGCUCAACCGGGGAACGACGCAUGAAACUGGCAAGCUAGAGUACCAAAGAGGGCGGUGGAAUUCCCGGUGUAGUGGUGAAAUGCGUAGAUAUCGGGAGGAACACCAGUGGCGAAGGCGACUACCUGGCCUGUUUCUUGACGCUGAGGCGCGAAAGCUAGGGAGCAAACGGG